rnacentral:rRNA from 1 species
UGGCGGACGGGUGAGUAAUGUCUGGGAAACUGCCUGGUGGAGGGGGAUAACUACUGGAAACGGUAGCUAAUACCGCAUAACGUCGCAAGACCAAAGAGGGGGACCUUCGGGCCUCUUGCCAUCGGAUGUGCCCAGAUGGGAUUAGCCAGUAGGUGGGGUAACGGCUCACCUAGGCGACGAUCCCUAGCUGGUCUGAGAGGAUGACCAGCCACACUGGAACUGAGACACGGUCCAG